rnacentral:snRNA from 1 species
GGAUGUGAGGGCGAUCUGGCUGAGGCAUCUGUCACCCCACUGAUGGCCAGGGUCAGCUGGCUAGGCGGGUGAUCCCUUCCUCCCUCACCGCUCCAUGUGUGUCCCUCCCGAAGCUGCAAGCUUAGUUGAAGAGGACGACCUUCCCAAUAGAAGGAGGCUCUUCCUUUGUUCAAGGGCAUAGGAGUGAGUGGCUGCGCUCCUCUGCCAGACCCUCCAAACAAGUCUCAAGAAUACAGAUGGUUUACCAAAAGGCAACAAAUUCAAAACCUCUGCUUGUAGUCAAGCAGUUUUGAUUUU